rnacentral:rRNA from 1 species
UACGGGGGGGGCAAGCGUUGUUCGGAAUUACUGGGCGUAAAGGGCUCGUAGGCGGCCAACUAAGUCAGACGUGAAAUCCCCAGGCUCAACCUGGGAACUGCGUCUGAUACUGGAUGGCUUGAAUCCGGGAGAGGGAUGCAGAAUUCCAGGUGUAGCGGUGAAAUGCGCAGAUAUCAGGAAGAACACCAAUGGCGAAGGCAGCUCUCUGGGACGGUACUGAUGCUGAGACGCGAAAGCGUGGGGAGCGAACAGG